rnacentral:lncRNA from 1 species
UGUGUAGACAUGGAGGACACUUUAUACAGUAACUCUGUUCUCUGAGGACCAGGAUGGACCCUUGCCCAGGAAAGUGGGCUGUUAGUAUUACACCGAAACAUAUCACUUUAAAGAGUCUGUAUUCCCAGCUCUUUUAGAGUAUGUCAUCUUUGGAUGAUUCAUGCUGAAAAUGAGCCGUGUCUUGCUCACUUUUUCUCUGUUGAGCAUUUAAAAAAAACCUAUUUAGACAUUUGGCACAUACAUUAUUUUCUUAGCUAUUUGAAUAUUUAACUG